rnacentral:rRNA from 1 species
GUGGGGAAUCUUAGACAAUGGGCGCAAGCCUGAUCUAGCCAUGCCGCGUGAGCGAUGAAGGCCUUAGGGUUGUAAAGCUCUUUCGCUGGGGAAGAUAAUGACUGUACCCAGUAAAGAAGCCCCGGCUAACUCCGUGCCAGCAGCCGCGGUAAUACGGAGGGGGCUAGCGUUGUUCGGAAUUACUGGGCGUAAAGCGCGCGUAGGCGGAUUGGAAAGUUGGGGGUGAAAUCCCGGGGCUCAACCUAGGAACUGCCUUCAAAACUCCCAGUCUUGAGUUCGAGAGAGGUGAGUGGAAUUCCGAGUGUAGAGGUGAAAUUCGUAGAUAUUCGGAGGAACACCAGUGGCGAAGGCGGCUCACUGGCUCGAUACUGACGCUGAGGUGCGAAAGCGUGGGGAGCAAACAGGAUUAGAUACCCUUGUAGUCC